rnacentral:pre_miRNA from 1 species
UGUAAGGGAUUUUGACUUUUGGGUUAUAACUUUGACCAUUCGUCUUAUUAAAAAAAUUUAAAAUUAUUAUUUAUUUUAUUGUUAAAAGUAAUUUAAUCAUGACUUAUAAUUUUUAAUAUUUACAAUAAAUUUUUUAAUAAGACGAAUGGUCAAAGUUGCAACCCAAAAGUCAAAAUCCCUUGUACU